GCCAGACUCCUACGGGAGGCAGCAGUGAGGAAUAUUGGUCAAUGGCCGCAGGGCUGAACCAGCCAAGUCGCGUGGGGGAUGACGGUCCUAUGGAUUGUAAACCUCUUUUGUCAGGGAGCAAAGGGCGCCACGUGUGGCGUUUUGCGAGUACCUGAAGAAAAAGCAUCGGCUAACUCCGUGCCAGCAGCCGCGGUAAUACGGAGGAUGCGAGCGUUAUCCGGAUUUAUUGGGUUUAAAGGGUGCGCAGGCGGAAUGUCACGUCAGCGGUAAAAUUUCGGGGCUCAACCCCGUCGUGCCGUUGAAACUGGCGUUCUUGAGUGAGCGAGAAGUAUGCGGAAUGCGUGGUGUAGCGGUGAAAUGCAUAGAUAUCACGCAGAACUCCGAUUGCGAAGGCAGCAUGCCGGCGCUCAACUGACGCUCAUGCACGAAAGCGUGGGUAUCGAACAGGAUUAGAUACCCGAGUAGU
rnacentral:rRNA from 1 species